rnacentral:rRNA from 1 species
AUUGAACGCUGGCGGCAGGCCUAACACAUGCAAGUCGAACGAGUGGCGGACGGGUGAGUAAUGUCUGGGUAACUGCCUGAUGGAGGGGGAUAACUACUGGAAACGGUAGCUAAUCCCGCAUACCAUCAGAUGUGCCCAGAUGGGAUUAGAUAGUGGGUGGGGUAACGGCGCACCAAGGCGACGAUCCCUAGCUGGUCUGAGAGGAUGACCAGCCACAUGGGAACUGAGACACGGUCCAGACGCCUACGAGACGCAGCAGUGGGGAAUAUUGCAGAAUGGGCGCAAGCCUGAUACAGCCAUGCCGCGUGUGUGAAGAAGGCCUUCGGGUUGUAGAGUACUUUCAGCGGGGAGGCGGUACCCGCAGAAGAAGCACCGGCUAACUCCGUGCCAGCAGCCGCGGUAAUAC